rnacentral:tRNA from 1 species
UAGCCGUAUCGGAAGGUGCGGCUGGAUCACCUCCUUUCCAGAGCUAUCUCGCGAAGUUGAGCGCUCACGCUUAUCGGCUGUAAAUUAAAGACAGACUCAGGGGUCUGUAGCUCAGUCGGUUAGAGCACCGUCUUGAUAAGGCGGGGGUCGUUGGUUCGAAUCCAACCAGACCCACCACCGUCUUGUGGGCGGUACACACCUGAGGAAUUCUGUACAUGGGGGCAUAGCUCAGCUGGGAGAGCACCUGCUUUGCAAGCAGGGGGUCGUCGGUUCGAUCCCGUCUGCCUCCACCAAUCUUCAAUGACAAACAUUCGAAUGACGAUUGUUCGAGUCUUUGUCAUUGGCGAUUGAGCCAGUCAGAGUGAUACGUAAUAAGUAUCGGCUGUCGUUCUUUAACAAUCUGGAAGAAGUAAGUAAUUUGGAUAGCGGAAGCGUCUAUGAGAUGGACGUGAAAACUAUCCGGGUUGUGAUUGUAUCGAUGUAUCUCAAGAUGAUUCGAACUCUAUGUUUGACUCAAUUGGAAUACGGCACAACGCGAGAACUCAACCUGUAACGAGACAGACUCGUUAUAGGGUCAAGCGAACAAGUGCAUGUGGUG